rnacentral:rRNA from 1 species
AGCAGCCGCGGUAAUUCCAGCUCCAAUAGCGUAUAUUAAAGUUGUUGCAGUUAAAAAGCUCGUAGUUGAAUUUCGGAAUCUGUCCGUUGGUCGGGCUUAAUUGUCCGUACUGAUGUGAUGGGUUCUUACCUUCUGAAUAACCAGCAUGCCAUUAAUUUAGUGUGUUGGGGAAGCAGGACUAUUACCUUGAAAAAAUUAGAGUGCUCAAAGCAGGCUAGUGCCUGAAUACAUUAGCAUGGAAUAAUAAAAUAGGACGGCAUGGUUCUAUUUUGUUGGUUUCUAGGAUCACCGUAAUGAUUAAUAGGGAUAGUUGGGGGCAUUAGUAUUCAAUUGUCAGAGGUGAAAUUCUUGGAUUUAUUGAAGACUAACUUCUGCGAAAGCAUUUGCCAAGGAUGUUUUCAUUAAUCAAGAACGAAAGUUAGGGGAUCGAAGACGAUCAGAUACCGUCGUAGUCUUAACCAUAAACUAUGCCGACUAGGGAUCGGACGAUGUUAAUUUUAUAAUGACUCGUUC